UACGUAGGGGGCUAGCGUUGUUCGGAUUCAUUGGGCGUAAAGGGUGCGUAGGCGGCGCGGUAAGUCGGGUGUGAAAUUUCGAGGCUUAACUUCGAAACUGCAUUCGAUACUGCCGUGCUUGAGGACUGGAGAGGAGACUGGAAUUUACGGUGUAGCGGUGAAAUGCGUAGAUAUCGUAAGGAAGACCAGUGGCGAAGGCGGGUCUCUGGACAGUUCCUGACGCUGAGGCACGAAGGUCAGGGGAGCAAACGGG
rnacentral:rRNA from 1 species